GCUGGUGUAGCUCAGUUGGCUAGAGCAGCUGAUUUGUAAUCAGCAGGUCGGGGGUUCGAGUCCCUUCACCAGCUCCA
rnacentral:tRNA from 7 species